UGCCCUUGCUGUGCGAAGAUCAGAGCAAACCGAAGCAGCAAGUCUCAUCGCCGUCGCAACAAGCAACCGGAGUUGAAGUCGCCGCCGAGCGCCGCCCGCGCGUCUCCGCCUUCAGCCGCAUCGUCCCUGGCUUGGUCGACGUCCAGAGCUGCUGUCCAGCCUCUGUUUCGCCUCUGCUCAGUCCCGUUCAGCUGCCUCCGGCCGCCACCUGACCACCUCUGGCCACCGUCGACCUCGCCGGAGCUCCGCCUCGCCCUCAACCGCCCUUGGCCGCCUCAACCAGCCCCGAAUCUGCCCCGAUCAGCAGCAAUCAGAGGGUUGCAAAAAAUGGGUUAGACAGUGGGUUUUGGCCCGUUUUGGCCAUCUUCCCAGGCCCGGAUGCUCGGCCCGCUUUGAGGAAAGUUGAUCCUCGCGUCGAGCCCGUCGUUUUGAGUGAGUUUUACUCACUAAUGCCUUCUUAGUGUGCUAAUUAUACUUAAAGGUUGAUUAGUGUUAAUUAAGUGUAAUUAGGUUGUUAGAUUAGAAUUGAUUAGUGGUUAUUAGUUAAUUACAUUGUAAGUUAGUUGUUUGGUUAGUGUAAUUAGAUAGAGAAUUGCCUAUAGUAUUUAUUGGAUGCUUCUUGGGAUUUUUACCGUCCCUUAUCGGGUGUUAAUUAAGCAAAUCGGGCCUAGGUGGUAUUUUUAGGAAUUAAAUAUUAAUUUUCGAAAUUAAUUAUUUAAUUAUUUGUUUCCCGAAAAUUCAACUGGGGGUGGCAAAUGACCGGGAUUUAUGCUGAUGAUCGUGCGCAGUCCGUUAUUUUAUUGAGUUUUAUAUUAUGCUAAAUUGAAUUUAUUGUAUUUAUUUAUUUAAUUUUCGCAAUUAAUUAUUUAAUUAAUUAUUUUCCGGAAAUUCAACCGGGAUGGCCGGUGACCAGAAUUUCGUGCUGAUUGUCGUGGAGUGGUCCAUUUAUUUAUUUGAGCCUUAAUUUGUGAGAAACUGAUUUAUUAGUGAUUUUAGGAUUUAUUCCUAAAUUGAAUAAUCUUUGGUUAUUAAUUGAAGAAUAACUGGGCAUCGGUUGAUAAUGCCACUACAUAUUGAAAAUUGCCGAGUGGGGCGGUGAUGCCACUAAAUGUAACAUUGCCGAGUGGGGCCGUGAUGCCACUACAUGUAACAUUGCCGAGUGGGGCCGUGAUGCCACUACAUAUUAAAAGUUGCUGAGUGGGGCAUGAUGCCACUAAAUCUAAGAAAAUUUCUCGAUGGGGCCGUGAUUACCACCUAUAAUUAAGUUGUGUCAUAAGGACCGUGAUUCAUAAUUGGGAAUUGAAUUGGAAUAGUUGAAAUGACCGGAAGUGGUCCUGCUGAUAUAUAAUCGACUAGGUCGAUUGAUCAUUGCCUUGAAUUGAUAUUGUAAAUUGGUUGGAAUAAUGGAAAUGACCGUGAGUAGUCUUGUUGGUAUGUAAUCGACUAGGUCAAUUGAUCGAUGAUUCGAUCUGAGUGUGAUUUGAUGUGAUUCAUUGCCUUGAUUUGAUGUGUGAAUUGAAUGAUUGAAGGGAGAUGAUCGUGAUUGGUCUUCCUGAUGUGAAAUAGACUAAGUCGAUUAGAUCGAUGCUUCGAUCUGUGAUGUGAUUACUUACGUGCCUAUUCAAUCUGUACUAAUAUGCAGGUGGAAUCUGAGGCUAAGGUACGUCCUCUGACUCAUGUUGUGCGUAGGCAGCCCUAAGGUGUAUUAGUUUACUAAUCGAGUCUUAGGAGGUAGAACUUGCUGAGACGUGGUCUCAGUGGUCAUUGAAUAACCAUUUCAGGACCUGGAUGAGGAGCCUAAGGAGCAUGAAUCUGACGAGGAGAUCCUUGUUGAGGAGCCCGAAGAGGAGUACGUGGAGGAGGACCCCGAGUAUGACAUCGAGUACGACUCGGAUGAGGAUCGAAAUCCUAUCCUGUCUUGUCAGACCUUGUUUGCAUGUAAAAAGUUGUAGUUGUGAAUUUUCAGUAUGAGAAAUGUAUGGCCUGCUUUUCUAUCCCAUUGCUUUAUUGUCUGGGGAAUUAUAACCGCUUCCGCAUGUGCAUAUAUAUAAAUGAAAGGGUCGGGGAUACAUAGUCCUGGGAUAUCGCAUUUUUAAAUCGACCAAAAGUAAGGGAUGUGUGCGUGCCUGAGGGUCGGGGUGUGACAUCCCCUUUUUGUGGUAUCAGAGCAAUGGUUAGGUAUUGGAGUGAUAAGGUGCGAUGACCUAUGGGAUAGUAGUAGGAAAGGCCUUUAAAUUCAUGACUGGUGUAUGUCUUUGAUAGCUGAUUGGUAGAAUUGUUUGUUAUGUGUGAAUCGAUUGCUUUUAAUCGUUGUGGAUUCGGAAGGCAGAGUGUUGACUCUGGCCAGCUUAAGCAUAAGAGUGCCACCGCAAGGUGGUACUAGUGUAGCAGCGUUGAUCCUAAGCCUGAUAAGAUUGAUUUGAUGCAAGUGUUUCUUGGGAUCUGGAUGAGCCAGUAAGAUCAUGAUCAAGUUGUUGUUGCUACCUUUGUUGGGGUCCAACCUAAAAGGAUAAUCAGAGAAUAGAAUUCAGUAUCUGAGUCCAGAUUCAGCGAAGCAGAAUUGGAAUUCGAUCAGGGGAAAAGACUGAUGUUGAGGGAAGAGUAUUUUGUUCCACCCAAUAGGAAGGGCGGCAUAGUCAAGUCAGUAUUCAGACAAAUGGAACAUGUUGUUCCGUGGAAGAUAUGUUACAUGGAAGAUGGUAUGGAUUAGUCUCAUGUAUUUUGAGGACAGGAAAUUGUGAUAAGUGUCGCCAAUACGGAUAAUGAACUAUGGGGUAUCUGCAUAAGUAGAAGGAAUCUCGACAACUGUUACAACUGUCACCGUCGAUAAGAUAGUUCAGAAGAAGUGCACCAUAGAACGCACUGUGGAAUAUCUGGGAUAAGUCUCUGGUACAAGAAAUGGUGCAUCCUAGCACUUGACAAGAGGUAGAAUACUCACCAGGUAAGUGCCAAAAGUAUGCAAGAAAGGCAUGGAUUAAUCAUGUGUUUGAGAAUGGCUAAAACGUGCUAUGAUGGUAGUCAGCACGGCUGUUGGGUGAAAGUCUAUUAGUGUGAGUCCAAGGGAGCAUUGAUACCGAUACCGCAGUUAAGACGCCAUUAGGAUGGCAAAAGGAACAAGAACAGAAUCGACCAUGCUUUAUUCAAUGGAAGAAUGUUUUGAGGUGAUUUUAUCAGAAUGGUGCUAGAGAGUAUCAGAAAUGCAAUUUUGGAAUUUCAAUUAUAUGUUAAGGUUGUAGAAAAGAACCACUGACUAGAGUUGUACUUGACUGGCUGUUGGUAUACAACUCUAUCGUCAAGUGUAGAAAGAAUUGGCUCUGGAGCAUUUUGUAGUGAUGAAUUGUUAUAGUGGAGUAAUCCAGUUUAUUCCAGGAGCAGGUAGAAGUGCCGAAUUUUAUUGAGAGUCGAGAAGGGUCCUUGACUUCUUUAAUCUCGUCACUGGUGGCGAUCCGUUUGUUAGACGAAGGACGCCUAGAUUACUUGACGAUUGUCAAAAAUAAGACAGAUUGAAGAAUUGAAAAUUGAGGACUCCUCAGUAGUCCAAGAAUUUCUGGAAGUGUUGCCAGAAGGAUUGUCAGGCCUAUCGUCAGUAAGUGAGAUACAAUUUACGAUCAAGCUAACACCCGGAACAGAACCAUUCUCUAAAGUUUCUUACCGAUUAUUGUUGCCUGAAUUGAUAGAACCAAUUGUGCAAAUGUGAGGAUUGAUGAAUGAAGAAUUCAUGCAUAUCGGUGCAUUACCUAGGGGAAACAUCAGUCUCAUAGUAAGAAAGAAAGAAAGAUGGUUCGUUGCAAGUAUGCAUCAACUAUAGUCGACUUAAUCAAGUGACAAUCAAGGAUAAGUGUUCAUUGUCAAAGAUCGACGAAUUGGGUGACUUGUUAUAAAAAGUGUUGAUGUCUUCAAGUAUCGACUUGAGGACAAAUUAUCGUCAGUUGAGAAUUAGGAAGGAAGUUAUACUGAAGACAACAUUUCACACUUGAUUUUUCCCUUGUGAGAAUAAUGUAAAGCCAUUUGAUUUGACGAACGCUUCAGCCGCCGUCAUAAAUUUGACAAACCGAGUGUUCCAAAAAAAAAAUACCUAGAUCAAUGGUGAUCGUGUGAUGUAACGACAUUCUAAGGUGUUCAUUAAGUGUUGAGGAUUACGAGAGCCCCUAAGAAUGGUCAUGUGAUUACAGAUAAAGGAAUCUUCAUGGACUCAGCCAAGAUUGAAUCAGUUGUUAAUGGACUGAAACCGACAACAAUGUUAGAGAUCAAGAGCCGUGGGGAUUGGACAGAUUACUACAGAAGGUUCGUGAAAGAAUUUUCAGCAUCCGUAUCAUUGCGGGCUUGAACUCUUAAGAAAGAAGAGAAAUUCAUCGGUAUAGACAAGUACGAGGAUAGUUCUAGAGCUUCAGUAAGAUCAGGCUAUCGCACUUGUGCUAAACUUUUCAUUUGGCUUUGGAAAGCAUGAGAUCUUUAGUGAUGUGUCUUGCCGAAGACUGGGUAUGUAUUGAUACAACAUGAGAAGAUUGUUGUAUAACCGUUCCACCAGUUGAGACCCAACAAGUUGAACAUGAAACGGUGUCGUGAAUCAGAAUUUUAGCAGGACUAUAAUAGUGAUAUCGGGUAUCACCUUGGAGAAACGAAAGAGUCAUUAAUGUGUUGGGCCGAGAGUCUUCUAUUGUGCAUAGACUAGCUAAAGUAUAGACUUUACUUGAAAAUGAUUUGAAAUUUGGUUUUCAAAUUUGAGGUAGGCUACCUUUUGAAUUUUAUAGCCGCCCUCAAAAUUGAACCAAAUGUUCAAGUUAGAAUCGGCGCCUAGUUGACAGGCAGAGAUGUUCAGAAAAUCUUAUAAGAGAAUACUGGUAAGAAAGAUAUUGACUUUAAGACUUCUGAGGAUGGAACAUUCGGGUUCCAUGGGGAAUUGAGUGCACUUGACAGUGUAGCACUCAUGGAAAAGACCUUGUUAGAAAUUCACUAUAAGUAUUGCAGUGUUUGGUUAAUCAAUUCAAGAUGGAUCAGAAUCGGCAUUAGCUAAAUUAGUAAUUUGAUAUGAAAAUGGAAACCGCUGAGCAAGUUGUAAGUGUCAGAGGUAUCAGUAAGUGGAAGUUCAGUAAUGCAAACCAGGAGAACUUUGACCAGCACUUAAGAGUCCCCAGUGGGAAUGAAAAUAUAUCACAAUGGAACAUUGUGACGAGCUUACUAAGGAUUCAGGGGAUUACUGAUACCAUUUGAGGAUAAUAGUCGAUCGAUAGAUGGAGUUGGUCAACUUUGGUACGGUACGAAUAGAUCUUGUUUGAGUGUGUGAUAUCAAGAUUUCGGGCUCUGAUUUCGAUUAGAUAAAUUGGGCAUUUCAUCGACGCAAUUACAGUGUUUUUCUCUGAGUUGGCCACUCAUGAGAUAACUAGACUAGCUGGGUGAGUUAUUAAGGACUUUAAGGCAAAUAGACUUGAGAAUUCGACCAAGGAUCAACUUCUCGACCGUGCUCAUCUUUAGAAAUCAUUGCGGCACAGUAUAAAAUCGAUUUGAAAUCAGAGAUAGGUCAGUUCGACUGAGAUGAAUGACCGAUCGUGGGUGACUCCACUAAAUUGGAAAAUUCUCAUCGACCGACACUAAUUUGAUUUUUCUAUCGUUUUGGUACCCUGUGUCCGUAUUUGAAUCUUGGAGAUUUUCACGACAAUCGAGAGUUGCCAAUGUGUCGAGUGGGUUUAUUGUGGUUCGAAGAAAAUCGACCACGGGUCAUUUGUCCUAAAAAGCUCUGAACACUAUCCAGUAGCCUAGGUCACACUAAAAGCGUGUCAAAGUGAAAUUAACCACCAAUCUAAGUUCGAUUUCAGAAAUUGAAGAUUCUAUCUUAUCAGAGUGAGUAUAAUGAAGUGUGUGUGCAUCAGAUAAUUACCGGCAUGGAGUGCCAGGGAUGAAUUAUAUUUCGAAUCUAGAUAAGAGAUUAUAAAUUUCGCAAAGUUUUCAGAGGGUUCUUUUUUAAGCAGUGUAUAGUAGAGGGUACAUAAUUUCAGUGGUGAAAAGAAAGUGAAUAAAGAUGUCAGGCCAGAGUUAGCUCAGUAAUCAGUGUUUGCAGUUAUCAGAUCAGUGUCAGAGUAAAGACUGUUCAGAACUGUCAGAAAUUUUGAAUCGUUCAGGUUCGAAGGUUUAUUAGGGAGUCGAGAAAAAGAGAUCAGAUGUGGAUGACAGAAUGUCUUAGAAGCUCAGUUCAGUUGUUGGUUCAGAAAGAGUAGAUUUUGUGUACAAAGAUGAUCUCCUUAGUCAAAGUGGUCAGACAACACCACAAGACCGAAGGAUUAGCGUGGAAAAAGUGAGACUCGAUGAGACGACAAUAAUCCCACCUUUCGUUCAAGGACUGAUAAAGGUUUAAAUUUCGAGGACGAAAUUUUUAUAAGAGGAGAAGAGUUGUGACAUCCAGAUUUUCGGGUCCUAAUUUCGACUGGAUAAUAGGGCCGCUUUUGUUCGGUUGAAGCCAAGGAUUGUGAAAUUGGGAUGCAAGUGGGGCUACAUUGGUAAGGAAAAAUACCAAUUGGAAUGAUGAGGUGUUGAAUAAAUUAAUGGGGGUCAAUUUGAUUUAAUUCAAGAGGAAUUAAGGCUCAAUUGGAAAGAAAACCUAGCAAAUUUGUAUGCCACACAUACCCCCAUAUUUUAGCUUACCUAAAUGCUUCUAGAAGGGGCAAAAUUGUCUUGGAAUUGUGAGUGGAGGGCAGCUGGUGGUGCCCAUGUGUGGCUGACCUAAGAGAGAGAGAGAGAGUGAGAGAAAAGAGAGAGAAAUUAGGUUUUUCUUCCUCCCCUCUCUCCUCCGUCGAGCAUCUCCAUCUUCUUCCUUUUUUUCUUUGGCUUUCUUCUUCAGCAACAACCGAAGAAGCCGAAGCAGCAGCAGCAGCUUCGCCCGUCGCCACCUCUCACCGCCGCCGUCAGACGCCCGCAAGCACCGGAGCUGCUUGCGCACCCAAGCCCGCCGCCGUGCUGCCGUCUACACAUCUCCGCCCCCCGCUCCUCCCUCUGGUUCGAAUAGAAACGAAAAUAGAAACAGAAGCAGCAACCAUCGUUGGUUGAAGGAGCUGCAGUCGCGCCGGAGCUAUCGUCGCCGUCGUGCCGGAACGCUGCCGCCGUCACUGCUUCGCCCCACCCGCGCGCACCUCUGCUUCUCUCCUCUGUCCUCUUUCGAUUGUUUGGUGCCCUUGCUGUGUGAAGAUCAGAGCAAACCGAAGCAGCAAGUCUCAUCGUCGCCGCAACAAGCAACCAGAGUUGAAGUCGCCGCCGAGCGCCGCGCGCGCGUCUCUGCCUUCAGCCGCGUCGUCCCUAGCUUGGUUGACGUCCAGAGCUAUUGUCCAGCCUCUGUUUCGCCUCUGCUCAGUCCCGUUCAGCUGCCUCCGGCCGCCACCUGACCACCUCCGGCCACCGUUGACCUCGCCGGAGCUCCGCCU
rnacentral:lncRNA from 1 species